rnacentral:rRNA from 1 species
CGCAGAACCUUACCACGCCUUCGUACAUCCGGUCGCGGAUCGCAGAGAUGCUUUCCUUCAGUUCGGCGUGGACCGGUGACAGGUGCUGCAUGGCUGUCGUCAGCUCGUGUCGUGAGAUGUUGGGUUAAGUCCCGCAACGAGCGCAACCCCCGCCUUCAGUUGCCAACGGUUCGGCCGUGCACUCUGGAGGAACUGCCUGUGACAAGCAGGAGGAAGGUGGGGAUGACGUCAAGUCCUCAUGGCCCUUAUGGGCUGGGCUACACACGUGCUACAAUGGCGGUGACAGAGGGAUGCAAUACCGCGAGGUGGAGCAAAUCCCUAAAAGCCGUCUCAGUUCGGAUUGUUCUCUGCAACUCGAGAGCAUGAAGUUGGAAUCGCUAGUAAUCGCAGAUCAGCUCGCCGCGGUGAAUACGUUCCCGGGCCUU